rnacentral:rRNA from 1 species
GGUUAAGCGACUAAGCGUACACGGUGGAUGCCCUGGCAGUCAGAGGCGAUGAAGGACGUGCUAAUCUGCGAUAAGCGUCGGUAAGGUGAUAUGAACCGUUAUAACCGGCGAUUUCCGAAUGGGGAAACCCAGUGUGUUUCGACACACUAUCAUUAACUGAAUCCAUAGGUUAAUGAGGCGAACCGGGGGAACUGAAACAUCUAAGUACCCCGAGGAAAAGAAAUCAACCGAGAUUCCCCCAGUAGCGGCGAGCGAACGGGGAGGAGCCCAGAGCCUGAAUCAGUGUGUGUGUUAGUGGAAGCGUCUGGAAAGGCGCGCGAUACAGGGUGACAGCCCCGUACACAAAAAUGCACAUACUGUGAGCUCGAUGAGUAGGGCGGGACACGUGGUAUCCUGUCUGAAUAUGGGGGGACCAUCCUCCAAGGCUAAAUACUCCUGACUGACCGAUAGUGAACCAGUACCGUGAGGGAAAGGCGAAAAGAACCCCGGCGAGGGGAGUGAAAAAGAACCUGAAACCGUGUACGUACAAGCAGUGGGAGCACGCUUAGGCGUGUGACUGCGUACCUUUUGUAUAAUGGGUCAGCGACUUAUAUUCUGUAGCAAGGUUAACCGAAUAGGGGAGCCGAAGGGAAACCGAGUCUUAACUGGGCGUUAAGUUGCAGGGUAUAGACCCGAAACCCGGUGAUCUAGCCAUGGGCAGGUUGAAGGUUGGGUAACACUAACUGGAGGACCGAACCGACUAAUGUUGAAAAAUUAGCGGAUGACUUGUGGCUGGGGGUGAAAGGCCAAUCAAACCGGGAGAUAGCUGGUUCUCCCCGAAAGCUAUUUAGGUAGCGCCUCGUGAAUUCAUCUCCGGGGGUAGAGCACUGUUUCGGCAAGGGGGUCAUCCCGACUUACCAACCCGAUGCAAACUGCGAAUACCGGAGAAUGUUAUCACGGGAGACACACGGCGGGUGCUAACGUCCGUCGUGAAGAGGGAAACAACCCAGACCGCCAGCUAAGGUCCCAAAGUCAUGGUUAAGUGGGAAACGAUGUGGGAAGGCCCAGACAGCCAGGAUGUUGGCUUAGAAGCAGCCAUCAUUUAAAGAAAGCGUAAUAGCUCACUGGUCGAGUCGGCCUGCGCGGAAGAUGUAACGGGGCUAAACCAUGCACCGAAGCUGCGGCAGCGACGCUGAUGCGUUGUUGGGUAGGGGAGCGUUCUGUAAGCCUGCGAAGGUGUGCUGUGAGGCAUGCUGGAGGUAUCAGAAGUGCGAAUGCUGACAUAAGUAACGAUAAAGCGGGUGAAAAGCCCGCUCGCCGGAAGACCAAGGGUUCCUGUCCAACGUUAAUCGGGGCAGGGUGAGUCGACCCCUAAGGCGAGGCCGAAAGGCGUAGUCGAUGGGAAACAGGUUAAUAUUCCUGUACUUGGUGUUACUGCGAAGGGGGGACGGAGAAGGCUAUGUUGGCCGGGCGACGGUUGUCCCGGUUUAAGCGUGUAGGCUGGUUUUCCAGGCAAAUCCGGAAAAUCAAGGCUGAGGCGUGAUGACGAGGCACUACGGUGCUGAAGCAACAAAUGCCCUGCUUCCAGGAAAAGCCUCUAAGCAUCAGGUAACAUCAAAUCGUACCCCAAACCGACACAGGUGGUCAGGUAGAGAAUACCAAGGCGCUUGAGAGAACUCGGGUGAAGGAACUAGGCAAAAUGGUGCCGUAACUUCGGGAGAAGGCACGCUGAUAUGUAGGUGAAGCGACUUGCUCGUGGAGCUGAAAUCAGUCGAAGAUACCAGCUGGCUGCAACUGUUUAUUAAAAACACAGCACUGUGCAAACACGAAAGUGGACGUAUACGGUGUGACGCCUGCCCGGUGCCGGAAGGUUAAUUGAUGGGGUUAGCGCAAGCGAAGCUCUUGAUCGAAGCCCCGGUAAACGGCGGCCGUAACUAUAACGGUCCUAAGGUAGCGAAAUUCCUUGUCGGGUAAGUUCCGACCUGCACGAAUGGCGUAAUGAUGGCCAGGCUGUCUCCACCCGAGACUCAGUGAAAUUGAACUCGCUGUGAAGAUGCAGUGUACCCGCGGCAAGACGGAAAGACCCCGUGAACCUUUACUAUAGCUUGACACUGAACAUUGAGCCUUGAUGUGUAGGAUAGGUGGGAGGCUUUGAAGUGUGGACGCCAGUCUGCAUGGAGCCGACCUUGAAAUACCACCCUUUAAUGUUUGAUGUUCUAACGUGGACCCGUAAUCCGGGUUGCGGACAGUGUCUGGUGGGUAGUUUGACUGGGGCGGUCUCCUCCUAAAGAGUAACGGAGGAGCACGAAGGUUGGCUAAUCCUGGUCGGACAUCAGGAGGUUAGUGCAAUGGCAUAAGCCAGCUUGACUGCGAGCGUGACGGCGCGAGCAGGUGCGAAAGCAGGUCAUAGUGAUCCGGUGGUUCUGAAUGGAAGGGCCAUCGCUCAACGGAUAAAAGGUACUCCGGGGAUAACAGGCUGAUACCGCCCAAGAGUUCAUAUCGACGGCGGUGUUUGGCACCUCGAUGUCGGCUCAUCACAUCCUGGGGCUGAAGUAGGUCCCAAGGGUAUGGCUGUUCGCCAUUUAAAGUGGUACGCGAGCUGGGUUUAGAACGUCGUGAGACAGUUCGGUCCCUAUCUGCCGUGGGCGCUGGAGAACUGAGGGGGGCUGCUCCUAGUACGAGAGGACCGGAGUGGACGCAUCACUGGUGUUCGGGUUGUCAUGCCAAUGGCACUGCCCGGUAGCUAAAUGCGGAAGAGAUAAGUGCUGAAAGCAUCUAAGCACGAAACUUGCCCCGAGAUGAGUUCUCCCUGACUCCUUGAGAGUCCUGAAGGAACGUUGAAGACGACGACGUUGAUAGGCCGGGUGUGUAAGCGCAGCGAUGCGUUGAGCUAACCGGUACUAAUGAACCGUGAGGCUUAACCUU